UCGAGCUUUCUGUUGUAAUAUUGAUUCUUCCAGCAAAGACCAUUUUUCCAGUUGGAGCAUCAGUUCUUUUUCUCUUAGUUGUAGCGAAUCAGAAUAUGCACUAGACAGCUGGUGUUGUAAGGCUUCCAGUUCUUUACGACUGACCUCAAUUUUCUGUGAGAUUGUCUUAAAUUCUCUGGUAUUUAGAGAUUUCAAGACUGGUUUAAGAGACUUGAGGUUGUUCCACACUCCUCGAAGGGUAGGCUGAGCAUUGGCAUUCCAGGAAGCUUUGACUAAUUGCAGGAAAUCCUGAUGUUGCAUCCAUGCAUUAAAGAAUCUAAAAGGUG
rnacentral:lncRNA from 1 species